rnacentral:misc_RNA from 1 species
ACUGUUUUAAUAUUUUUUUUUUUUCAUUUGCAAUAAGUCAUAUUUGAAAAGGCAGUCACAAGCACCAAAUUUGUAGCCCCUUCAAUCCUUCACCAUCACAGACAGUAACAGUGACUGGAAGCCUGCCUUACAUCUGUACUGGAAAAUGGCAAUUGCAUGUAUGAUUUAUCUUAGCAACUCUAUUACAGUAAAGUGAAUUUCUUCUCAGUACUGAUCCCCAUCUCAGAGGCAGCAGUACAUUUCA